UUACGGCCAUAUCACGAUAAAACACCCGUUUUAGUCCGAUCGCCGAAUUUAAGCAAAGUUGAGCCUGUUCAGUACCUAGAUGGGUGACUGCUUGGGAAUACCGUAUG